rnacentral:misc_RNA from 1 species
UUUCCGUAGGUGAACCUGCGGAAGGAUCAUUAUUGAAACUUGAAUCGUAGCAUUGAGAACUGUUGCUGACCUGUUAAAGGGUAUGUGCACGUUCGACGUGUUGCGUUCUAUUCAUCCACCUGUGCACCUUUGUAGACUUGAUUAGCUUUCGCUCUCGAGCGGUUAGAAGGGUUGCUUUCGAGCUCCCUUUGUCUAUCAAGUCUAUGUCUAUAUAAUCUCUUGUAUGUCUAGAAUGUCUUGUUUAUGGGACGCAAGUCCUUUAAAUCUUAUACAACUUUCAACAACGGAUCUCUUGGCUCUC